GGGGUUAGGAGAUGAGCGGAGGUGGGUUUAUGAGGUCCUGUCUUUUGAAGCUUGCGGGCGGGUUCUUCGCCGCUGCCGCGGUACCCCCUAGCCGGUUUCGAGGGACGGGCGAUGCUCGUCCACUUCGACGAGCCGCUCCCAUUAAAGCGGUUCCAGAUGGACCGCGCCGUGUACCUAUGCUUCCUCCUCCACCGUUAGUUCCACUACCUGUUCCUCUUCGAGUAGUUCAACCCGCGGCAAGUUGUCUAGUUCGCGCUCUAGCGGCACUACGCGGCCGACGCCGUGGGGUUGUAGCACGUCGACGUGUUCCACUACCGCACGUUCAGGGCAUAGAAGCAGCAGUACCUCAUGCAGGCGCCACCGGGCGAGAUGGCGGUGUAGGGGCGGUUGCCGCCGGAGUUCCUCCUGCUCUGCGCGGCGUAGAAGGUCGUCGAGCAGAGCCGUGAGUGGAAGACGGUGCGCGUCCCGCACAUGGUAGCGCUGUAGUUCGGGCUGUUGGAGGAGCAGCUGCUCGUGCCGUUAGAGUUCCAGCGGCUGAAGCCCGACAGGCGGGUGCGGCUGUGCCGAGCGGCCCUCCGCGAGGAGGUGUGGCAGACGCCGUGCGGGGACAUGCAGGGAGGCCUCCACAAGCGCGCGGCCCCGAUGCUACCACGGUUCCGCCUGCGGACCAGGACGCCGUAGCAGGAGAAGCACGAGCGGCGGCCGGCGUUCGGGAAGGCGCUGCUGCUGAAGUAGUGCGAUAUGUCCUGUUAGACGGCGCCACUGAUGGCGACGGGUGCGUGGAAGUCGGGGCUUGACCAUGCGUAUCAUGCGGCGGAGGAGGUUGGUUUGGGUCGCGUGGCCUAGUGUGAUGACGUUUAGUUCCUUUGUCUAACCAAGUUCUUCCCGAAGUUCCUUUAUUCAAAGAUAUAGCUGUUGUUCCUGACGGACGCGUCGGAACUACCGAGGCUUCUCGGACUAGAGACACUGAGACUGAGGCUCCUGCUCUGACGGUACAGAAGUAGUAGGAGGCCGAGAAGGAGAGGCCACCGAGUACCGCUACCGCCGCCGUACGUGUGGAGCCAAAGUCGUGGCAGCGAACAUUUAGACCUCUUCUACGUGUAACGACGUCGGACACGGGGACUCGGCGCAUAUUCUGCCUAGUUCUCAUACUUGCGCAAGCUGUAAUAGCGGAGGAGCGGUUCGAAGCUAGACAGGCCCGACAAGCUCCUCGCGCCGCUCGUCAACGCAAAGCACAGGUCGCGCGGUCACUUGUGGUAGUAGUUCUUCGACCUCCUCUAGCGGCCCGUUCAAUCGAAGUGCCGCGCGUGGUUCCUAACGGUCCACUCGAAGCUCCGCUGCUCCUUACCGGUGUUCCCGCGCGACCGGUAUAGGUGGUUCUAUAAGGUCGAGUGCGGCCUCGAGCAGUACCAAGUCCAUACGUUCUUUCGGCCUCUAUGGCGACUUAUGGCAGUUAAGACGCCGUCACUCGAGUUCGGGCCGGAAGCUCCAGAACACCUACCGGACGGGCUCCUACCGGAAGGAGGUUGCGACUUACAACGCACUUUAAAAUCUCUUACACCCACUUUUCGUCGUCCCGAACUAAAUUUUCAUAGAAGUGAAACAAAAAGAGUAACAAAUCAUCAAGUCAAGUCCUGAUUUGUCACAAUCACCACCUAGUGGCUACAUAGCUGUAACUCAAGGUUCACAACACAUCAGACGUGUAAUCUUUUUUAUAACGAACAACGAUUAAUUUAAAAAUAUCUGACAAAAGAUAUCGCUUCAAUUAAAACUCCAACUAAACCAUAACUUUGUAGAUGUGUAUUAAGUAGAGUAUUAUAACUCUACUCU
rnacentral:rRNA from 1 species